rnacentral:tRNA from 1 species
UCCUGUAUAGCUAAGUUGGCAAAAGCACUACAUUGGUUAUGUAGAUACCGGCGGUUCGAAUCCGCCUGCAGGAG